UGUUCAAAAUGGCUAGCAGUUCCCUCUAGGUACGGCGUGACCCUGUGCAGGGCAACAGUGAUCACAUGCUCCCCCACCUCCAGGCCCUGCUCUCAGCUGUGAUGAUUGGCCUGGGCAGGGAAGUGUGCAGCUCUCUUGCCCCUCAGAGUUGAACAGCCCUAAGCCACACAUGGAAGGAACCUCCUUGAGCAGCCUGUGGCUGCUGCAGGAGGGAGCGUAUCUUGGGGACCCUGUUGGACUGCUGGCUGGGAGCCACCUAAGAUGGGGAAAUUGAGACAAAGAGAAGUGAAUAACUUCAUCGUGACAGUUCAAUAUAGUGAAUCAACAGUAGAGUCAGAAGCAGAAUGCAGGUUUCCCGAUCCAUCUAUGCAGAGGAAGGACUAUGGCUGCUUUACUGUCUGCACCACUCUAGGAUCAUACAUCAAAUCAGCCACAGUCACCUCAUCCCAGAAAAGCCUCAGAGACAAGGAUUGCUGACUCUUGCACAGACCCCAACUAAUAUACAAAAGAUGACAGGGAAGAAAAAUGCAUGAUAUCAAAUAGGCAUGAAAGUAAAAUUUGUGGGAGACAUCAUUUAUAUUUACAGCAAUGUUUGUGUUGCUCUUGGUAUCCAUAAAUUACACUAGUCAUUAAACU